rnacentral:rRNA from 1 species
AUUGAACGCUGGCGGCAUGCUUUACACAUGCAAGUCGAACGGGGUGAGGGGGCAACUCCUCAUUCAGUGGCGAACGGGUGAGUAAUGCAUCGGAACGUGUCCCGUAGUGGGGGAUAACGCCGGGAAACCGGCGCUAAUACCGCACAUGCUCUACGGAGGAAAGUGGGGGACCGCAAGGCCUCACGCUAUGGGAGCGGCCGAUGUCCGAUUAGCUUGUUGGCGGGGUAAAGGCCCACCAAGGCGACGAUCGGUAGCUGGUCUGAGAGGAUGAUCAGCCACACUGGGACUGAGACACGGCCCAGACUCCUACGGGAGGCAGCAGUGGGGAAUUUUGGACAAUGGGGGCAACCCUGAUCCAGCCAUGCCGCGUGCGGGAAGAAGGCCUUCGGGUUGUAAACCGCUUUUAGUUGGAAAGAAAAGGCACGCCCUAAUACGGCGUGUUCUUGACGGUACCGGCGGAAUAAGCACCGGCUAACUACGUGCCAGCCGCCGC